GUGAAGGUGAACGCCUUGGUUGAACCGUGUUACAAUGCUGUCCUCUAGGUCCUUGAAAUUCCUCUGACGUCAACAGGAAUGUGAGGGCUGGGGAAGCCCUGAACCUCUGAUUUGAACCUCGGUGAAGCGUAAACAGCCAAGAUGCAGUUUGCAAAUACAAGAUUACGGGGAAUCAGAUAGACAGAAAGACAUCAGAUUCCAGAAAGACAUCCAAUGGGCAGUCCAAGAUUUAUGCCAAUUAAAGAAGGCGCAGCACAGCUGAAGGUCAACAGAGCUAGCGCACAUGAUUUGAAAAAAAUUUAUCAUUCUUAUGCAUCCUAUUGAGUAUCCAGAAAUGAGCUGCCAGUUUGCAAGAAAUGGCUGCUGCUCUGAGUGAAACGAUGGCUAAGCUUUGUAGGUGGCUGGGUGGGGCCACAGGUCUCCUUGGAAACUGAUACUUUCAGGAUUCACUUGAACUCGAGCCAUCUUGUCAACCACAGUUUCUUGGGAAGCAAUAUUUUCUGUCCCUGUGACCUUGGCAUUUUGCUUCCUGGUAGAAAAUGAAUACUGGUUCUUUCCACAAGAUUAGAGAACCAACUCUUUAUUUCAGGAAUGCAACCUUUAUUGUCUACAGCCUUAAGUAACUGACAAGACCAAAAUGGUGGCCAUCACCCAAACACCUGCACCAACCAAACCAGCAUGGAGUUACAAUAGCGAAGAGAAGUCUCUUUUGUUUUUCCUCUCAAUUUUUUGUACUCCGGAAUGAGUGCUCGUAAUAAGACAACAUUAAAUGUGUAAUAUUUGGCAUUAAAGGGCUAAACAUUAUAUAAAUUAGUGUAAAAAAUUUGUUCAAUCUAUGUGUAC
rnacentral:lncRNA from 1 species